rnacentral:rRNA from 1 species
GGUAAAGGCCUACCAUGGCGACGAUCUGUAGCUGGUCUGAGAGGAUGAUCAGCCACACCGGGACUGAGACACGGCCCGGACUCCUACGGGAGGCAGCAGUGGGGAAUAUUGGACAAUGGGGGCAACCCUGAUCCAGCCAUGCCGCGUGUGUGAAGAAGGCCUUUUGGUUGUAAAGCACUUUAAGCAGUGAAGAAGACUCCGUGGUUAAUACCCACGGACGAUGACAUUAGCUGCAGAAUAAGCACCGGCUAACUCUGUGCCAGCAGCCGCGGUAAUACAGAGGGUGCAAGCGUUAAUCGGAAUUACUGGGCGUAAAGGGAGCGUAGGUGGCUCUAUAAGUCAGAUGUGAAAUCCCCGGGCUCAACCUGGGAACUGCAUCUGAAACUGUAGAGCUGGAGUAUGUGAGAGGAAGGUAGAAUUCCAGGUGUAGCGGUGAAAUGCGUAGAGAUCUGGAGGAAUACCGAUGGCGAAGGCAGCCUUCUGGCAUAAUACUGACACUGAGGCUCGAAAGCGUGGGUAGCAAACAGGAUUAGAUACCCUGGUAGUCCACGCCGUAAACGAUGUCUACUAGUCGUUGGGUCCCUUGAGGACUUAGUGACGCAGCUAACGCAAUAAGUAGACCGCCUGGGGAGUACGGCCGCAAGGUUAAAACUCAAUGAAUUGACGGGGGCCCGCACAAGCGGUGGAGCAUGUGGUUUAAUUCGAUGCAACGCGAAGAACCUUACCUGUCUUGACAUAUCUAGAAUCCUG